ACUUAUAUAGUUUAAAUAAAACAUUACAUUUUCAUUGUAAAAAUAAAAAGAAAUAUUUUUUAUAAGUA
rnacentral:tRNA from 1 species